GUCUACGGCCAUACCACCCUGAAUGCGCCCGAUCUCGUCUGAUCUUGGAAGCUAAGCAGGGUCGGGCCUGGUUAGUACUUGGAUGGGAGAAAACCUCAGAGAAACCGCAAGCAGCUGAGCCC
ensembl:rRNA 5S_rRNA 5S ribosomal RNA